UUAUCUUAUGGUGAAUACCAAGAAGUCCCAAGCGUUGUUUUACCCAACAUUGCCCUCACCGAUGUCACCAACCCCAACCGAUUCAUCUACGAUUAGAAUGCUCCCGAACCUAUCGAGCCUACACAAGCAAACCCGCCUCUAGACGAGUUUGAUGAAAUGGAGCAAGGUGAUCAAGGUCCUGAACAACAUUUGGUCCCAC
rnacentral:lncRNA from 1 species